rnacentral:rRNA from 1 species
GACGAACGCUGGCGGCGUGCUUAACACAUGCAAGUCGAACGGAAAGGCCCUGCUUUUGUGGGGUGCUCGAGUGGCGAACGGGUGAGUAACACGUGAGUAACCUGCCCUUGACUUUGGGAUAACUUCAGGAAACUGGGGCUAAUACCGGAUAGGAGCUCCUGCUGCAGGGUGGGGGUUGGAAAGUUUCGGCGGUUGGGGAUGGACUCGCGGCUUAUCAGCUUGUUGGUGGGGUAGUGGCUUACCAAGGCUUUGACGGGUAGCCGGCCUGAGAGGGUGACCGGCCACAUUGGGACUGAGAUACGGCCCAGACUCCUACGGGAGGCAGCAGUGGGGAAUAUUGCACAAUGGGCGGAAGCCUGAUGCAGCAACGCCGCGUGCGGGAUGACGGCCUUCGGGUUGUAAACCGCUUUCGCCUGUGACGAAGCGUGAGUGACGGUAAUGGGUGAAGAAGCACCGGCUAACUACGUG